AGGAGCCGUAUGAGAUGAAAAUCUCAUGUACGGUUCUGCAAUAGGGAUGAGAACAGUGAUGUUCUCAAGGCUGACAGGGGUGGACAAUUUGUGUAACAGAAAUUGUCUUGAUAACCAAC
rnacentral:ncRNA from 1 species